UGCAAUUACAGUCACAAAGUGUGUGGGGAG
rnacentral:piRNA from 1 species